rnacentral:ncRNA from 1 species
UUGCGGGAGAGUGUGAAAACACAAUCUACCGUGUUUUGGCCGCCGAAGGGGAAAACUGCCCGUAAUCUCUCAGGCACAAAGAACCGU